rnacentral:rRNA from 1 species
AUGCGUGGCCACGUCUGGCUCGACGCUAGCGCGCCCAGCGCUACCGGGGAGGACUCGCUCCCGCCGAUCCGGGUGUCUGAGGACACCUCGCGCUUCCAGUACACCAACCCGACGGGCCACCCAUCCGGCCUCCGGAUCACGCACAUCGCUGCCGAGGCCUUGCGGCUUGUGGGAGGCGGGGGCGUGUAGUGGGCGGUGCUCGUGGACAAUGACACCGUGUUGUCCUCGGAUAACCUGGUGGCGUGGUCGGGAAGUACGACUGGAGGGAGAUGGUGUACCUCGGGACCUCGUCAGAGAGCCACUCGGCCAACACCUAUUUCAGCCACGACAUGGCGUUCGGAGGCGGAGUCGUCGCGCUCAGCUCCCCCCUCGCUGCUGCGCUCGCGUGGACACUCGACGUGUGCAUCGAGAGGUACCCCAAGUUGUAUGGACGCGACGACCGCCUCCAUGCUUGCAUCAUAG